GGACUACCGGGGUUUCUAAUCCUGUUUGCUCCCCUAGCUUUCGUUCUUCAGCGUCAGUAGUGAUCCAGCUCGCCGCUUUCGCCACGGGUGUUCCUGCAGAUAUCUACGCAUUUCACCGCUCCACCCACGGUUCCACUUGCCCCUAUCCUCCUCGAGACUUCCAGUAUCCGAGGCAGUUCUCCAGUUAAGCUGGAGGAUUUCACCCCGGACUUGGCAGCCCGCCUACGCUCCCUUUAAGCCCAGUGAUUCCGAAUAACGUUCGGGCGGUUCGUCUUACCGCGGCUGCUGG
rnacentral:rRNA from 1 species